AGGCCUAACACAUGCAAGUCGAACGGUAGCACAGAGAGCUUGCUCUCGGGUGACGAGUGGCGGACGGGUGAGUAAUGUCUGGGAAACUGCCUGAUGGAGGGGGAUAACUACUGGAAACGGUGGCUAAUACCGCAUAACGUCGCAAGACCAAAGAGGGGGACCUUCGGGCCUCUUGCCAUCAGAUGUGCCCAGAUGGGAUUAGCUUGUUGGUGAGGUAACGGCUCACCAAGGCGACGAUCCCUAGCUGGUCUGAGAGGAUGACCAGCCACACUGGAACUGAGACACGGUCCAGACUCCUACGGGAGGCAGCAGUGGGGAAUAUUGCACAAUGGGCGCAAGCCUGAUGCAGCCAUGCCGCGUGUAUGAAGAAGGCCUUCGGGUUGUAAAGUACUUUCAGCGGGGAGGAAGGUGUUGUGGUUAAUAACCGCAGCAAUUGACGUUACCCGCAGAAGAAGCACCGGCUAACUCCGUGCCAGCAGCCGCGGUAAUACGGAGGGUGCAAGCGUUAAUCGGAAUUACUGGGCGUAAAGCGCACGCAGGCGGUCUGUCAAGUCGGAUGUGAAAUCCCCGGGCUCAACCUGGGAACUGCAUUCGAAACUGGCAGGCUUGAGUCUUGUAGAGGGGGGUAGAAUUCCAGGUGUAGCGGUGAAAUGCGUAGAGAUCUGGAGGAAUACCGGUGGCGAAGGCGGCCCCCUGGACAAAGACUGACGCUCAGGUGCGAAAGCGUGGGGAGCAAACAGGAUUAGAUACCCUGGUAGUCCACGCCGUAAACGAUGUCUACUUGGAGGUUGUGCCCUUGAGGCGUGGCUUCCGGAGCUAACGCGUUAAGUAGACCGCCUGGGGAGUACGGCCGCAAGGUUAAAACUCAAAUGAAUUGACGGGGGCCCGCACAAGCGGUGGAGCAUGUGGUUUAAUUCGAUGCAACGCGAAGAACCUUACCUGGUCUUGACAUCCACAGAAGAAUCCAGAGAUGGAUUUGUGCCUUCGGGAACUGUGAGACAGGUGCUGCAUGGCUGUCGUCAGCUCGUGUUGUGAAAUGUUGGGUUAAGUCCCGCAACGAGCGCAACCCUUAUCCUUUGUUGCCAGCG
rnacentral:rRNA from 1 species